rnacentral:rRNA from 1 species
AUACGUAGGGGGCAAGCGUUAUCCGGAUUUACUGGGUGUAAAGGGAGCGUAGACGGAAGGCCAAGUCUGAUGUGAAAGCCCGCGGCUCAACUGCGGGACUGCAUUGGAAACUGGUCAUCUGGAGUGCAGGAGGGGUAAGCGGAAUUCCUAGUGUAGCGGUGAAAUGCGUAGCUAUUAGGAGGAACACCGGUGGCGAAGGCGGCUUACUGGACUGUAACUGACGUUGAGGCUCGAAAGCGUGGGGAGCAAACAGGAUUAGAUACCCUGGUAGUCCACGCAGUAAACGAUGAAUACUAGGUGCUGGGUCCCACAGGGGUUCGGUGCCGCCGCUAACGCAUUAAGUAUUCCACCUGGGGAGUACGUUCGCAAGAAUGAAACUCAAAGGAAUUGACGGGG